CCCACCUUUUACAUUAAAUAUCGUUGAAAGGUUUCAAAUCUUAUAUAACAAAUAGUGAAGCGCCUAACCAAUAUAUUUGUUCCCUAAUAGAGUUUUAAUCCCCGGGGAUAAACUUGAUCAUAGAGAAUAUGCGGUGAAAAUCCAAUAAUCCUUUAAUUGAGUGGACAGCCGCCAUAUUGUAUUUUGAUGCUAUAAAUUGGCGGGAAGACGUCCCUUUGACAUCAGUCGUAUUUCAGUGUUACAAUCAACAAUAUACCACAGUUAAGAUGUCAGCAAUGAAGUAUGCAUGUGUCGCUGUCAUUUUGGCAGUUAUCUGCUUAGUUCAAGUUAGCGAAGCAAAUUACAAGAACGCUCCAAUGAAUGGAAUUAUGUUUGGCAAGAGAGGUCCUUCUGAUUAUGAGAACAGAGC